rnacentral:rRNA from 1 species
CCUACGGGAGGCAGCAGUGGGGGAUAUUGCACAAUGGGGGGAACCCUGAUGCAGCGACGCCGCGUGGGUGAAGGAGUAUUUCGGUAUGUAAAGCCCUAUCGGCAGGGAAGAAGAAAGACGGUACCUGACUAAGAAGCCCUGGCUAACUACGUGCCAGCAGCCGCGGUAAUACGUAGGGGACGAGCGUUAUCCGGAUUCACUGGGUGUAAAGGGAGCGUAGACGGCCAAGCAAGCCAGGGGUGAAAGCCCGGGGCCCAACCCCGGGACUGCCCCUGGAACUGCAUGGGUGG